UAAACAAACCAACAAUAUGGCUCCCCAUCCCCAAAGAGCUCACAAUCUAAAAGAAACAUAAGACAGACAACAGCAACAGUCACUGGAGGUACUGUGCUAGCGGUGGAUAAGGCCAGUUACUCUCCUCCUCUUAAAUAAAGAGAAUCACCAUGUUAAAAGGCGCCUCUUUGCCAAGUUAGCUGGGGUGACCCUGUGAUUGGAAAGGCUGGUGCUACACAACCAAACGAAACCCCCCUCCUCUCUCUGGAUGAGCUGUUAGGGCACCCUUUCCCUCUUCCCAGGAGGCUUGCUGGCCAGCUCAGCUAGGGAGGCAUCUGCAGUCAGUGACAUCUAGGACAAUGAGGACUAGACAUCCUGAAGAGGUGAUAACGCACAAUGUAGCAUUACCGUGUAAGGAUUGGGGGGAGGACUAGGCCUCGCUUAGAGCCAAAUCAAAGGGACCAGCUCAGAGGACUGGGCGGGAUUCCUGGCUCCACCCCCAGCAGAAGCUCUGGUCUCCUGGUGAGUCUGUCCCAGGAGGAGGAGGAGGAGGAGGAGGACCCCGAGGAAGAAGCAGGCCGAGAGCUGCUGGGGAGCUGGGAAGAAGGCCGCAGGCUGUGAGGAAGAAGGACCAGGACAUCCGUGCAAGGCCUCCGGAGGGAAGUGGUUCUUCUGUGAGGAUCGCUGGGGAUCUGCAUUGCCAGGUCUGAGGACUGCAAAGCAGAAGAAAGAAAGAAAGAAAGAAAGAAAGAAAGAAAGAAAGAAAGAAAGAAAGAAAGAAAGAAAGGAAGGAAGGAAGGAAGGAAGGAAGGAAGGAAGGAAGGAAGGAAGGAAGGAAGGAAGGAAGGAAGGGCGGUGGCCAGGAACCAUUGAGUAGAGGGCCUUCCUCCACCCAGCCCAGGACAUUCCCCAACACUUGCUGGCUUGCCAUGAUGCUCUGCUCUAGAUGAGCUUCUGUGGGCUGGAUCACCAGCCCUCCUCACACGAUGAAAUCUAAGAUUGGCUGCUGUCUUUGACUUAGCAGAUCCCCAUUUCUGUCAUCCUGAUUCCAUGCCUUUGGUCUUGUGUUCCAGAUAGCAAUCAUGUGCAGGCUCUGCAAAGUUUUUGCUCAAAUUCCAAGCGCAGUGAUCUCACCCUACAGAAGCUCCUGUAGGUGCCUCUUGGCCAAGUUAGCCUCUUGGCCAAGUUAGCAGGGCUAGCUAUUUUACUUGGUAUGUGAAGAAGGUGCAAGAUACAGAAACACAAUAUUGAUGCAAAACAAAGAAUUCAUGGGACUGCAAAAUCAUUUUUUACUAUGAACAUUUUGCCUUUCCAUUAUCAAAAUGAUGUGGUCGCUAUGAGGCGACACUGACUUGAUGGCACUUAAUCCAUCAAUCAAAUGCGUGCAACAAAGAAGCAGUUCUUUUCUGCUCGCAUUGCUUCUGCAAGUUCACAUUCAGCAGAGUUGUCUCGAGUUGUGAAAGGGCUAGUGCAUGGCCCUCCCCCCUUGAAUGAGUAUUUGGAUCCAUCAGCUACCCGUUGUGACAUUUCAAAUGAGAUCUUUGCAGAUGAAAACUCUCUUCAUCGAACUGAACUAGACUCUACAGGUCCUGCAGAGCCUACUGUAGAGGUGUUCAGCAGUUCCUCUUGCACAGUGAAAUUGGAUCAUUUUCCAUUUGUGAGUGCAGAGGAUGUGGACAACCUGCUUGGGACACUUCACUUGAAUACUUGUUUUCUUGAUCCUUGCCCAACAUGACUUAUACAAUCUAGCAAGGAGGUUAUUGGAGAGGGUCUUGGAAGCAUCAUUAAUACUUUUUAAUGGCAGGAUGCCUCCUUGCCUCAGGAAGGCCAUGAUUAGACCACUGUUGAAGAAACCUGCAUUGGAUCCCAUUCUAGGCUUUUCUCCAACCUCCCAUGGUAGGGCAAGCGGAUUGAGAGAGGGUAGUGGCAUCUCGGCUCCAGGCAGUCUUGGAAGAAGCAGAUGAUCUGGGCCCAUUUCAAAAUGGCUUUCAGUUGGGCUGUGGGGUUGUGAAGGCCUUGAUUGGCCUGUUGGGUGAUCUCCAAUUGGGAAUCGACAAGGGGAGUAUGACCCUGUGGAACCUUUUGGAUCUCUCUCAGAUCCUUUUGAUAUCAGUGAAUCAUGGCACCUCCUGGAGCACCUGAAGGGGUAGGGAGUGAGAGGCAAUGCUUUGCAGUGGCUCCACUCCUACUUCUCAUGUAGGUCCCAGAUGCUGUUGCUUGGAGAUUGUUGCUCUUCCAAAGGAGAGCUAUUGUAUGGGAUUGCACAGGGCUCCCUUCCAUCCCCAAUGCUUUUUAAUAUCUACAUGGAUCGGUGCGGGGAAAUCGUCAGGGAUUUGGUGCAGGCUGUUACCCAUAUGCUGACACCCAAACCUCUUUCUCCAUUUCAACUUCAUUAGGAAAUGGCCCAACUUCCCGAGAGACUUACCUGGAGUCCGUGAGGAGCCGGAUGAGGGAGAACAAACUGAGGCUGAAUCCAAGGAAGACAGAGCAUCUUUCACCAACUACAAAUGAAAAGAUUCCUAAGUCAAUGCAAACACUACACUGUGCUGCCAACAGAGUGUAGCCCGUCAAGCUCGUCACUCCCACCCCAAUAUCUCAACUGCCUAAAAUCACAAAAAAUCUCAGUCAUCAGCUCUGAUUCUAAAAAAGGUGAUUUUGGUAUUUGCAGACCCUAAGCUUGCACAGUGACUUCCGGGCCAAAGCAGGGAACAUGACGCUCCCAACACAGACUCGCGAGACCGCUCCAUUCCCAACAAGAGAGACACCAGAGAAGUCACACCAAGAUCACCCUCCAAUCCUGAACAUGACUCCAACCCAGCUCAAAUGGAGGAUUAUACCAUCAACCCUAGCUGGUCUUCUCAACACCGACUGCCUCCAGACUGAAAAGCAUCCCCUGCAUGAUACUGACUAUAUAGAAGAGACCCUAUGUGAUACCAACGCUCUCCGGGUCACAGGGAAUCCCUUCACCAUCUCUACUCUCCUAAACGCUAUUCCAUUGGAUCCAGUGCAUUGCUACUGAGAACGUCGACAUUGAGACUACUCUCCAUCUGAUCAUGCCUGAUCAUUCCACUUACAUCUUCGAUGACAGAUCUGUCAUUGAUGAUAGAGAACGCUAUCUCCACCCUUGCUCUUGGGCUCCACAUCGAAACCAAUAUCCGGGGAGAUUGGACUAUCCAGACUCUCGGACCCAAUCACACUCUCCUCAGCACUGCAGGUCUUGGUCUCAGUCAAGAGAUAAGAGAACUCAACCACCUAAGCAGCUGGACUUUGACCUCCUACCACUGGAUUCCUCGACUGAAGAAUCCGCUUCAGAUGCAGAAACAACCCUGGACAUCGCAUCGGGUUCCACACCUUCAAAUCUAAUUGAAGAUCCAAAACCUCUGCCUCCCUCGGAGUACCUGAAGCUCUUCACUGACCAAGUGGCCUAUAUGGCUACCUCUUUAGGUAUCCAGGUUAACAAACCUCCUAAAUCUCCUCCUGAUCCCAUUUUUGGGCCAACUGAUGCUGGAACUUUGCACUCUUUCUUCCUACCACUGAACUCUGCUUGAAUGGACAUUGUCAACACUUGCUGGGCAUUUUUGCCACCUGCCUCUCAGAAGCUGGAAGGUUUUUUACAAGGUUAAAGCCAGAGACAAUCAGUUCCUUCUGUGCCAUCCUACUCCUCACUCCAUUAUAAUGGAAUCUGCUCAGUCCUGUUCAAAGAACAGAAUCCAUUCAGCAGCAUCUGACACAGAAGGCAGAAAAGCAGAUGCCCUUGGGCCUGUCCCCUUUCCAAACAGCUCCUCCAUAUACGUCUCGCCAUGCCACUGACUGUUCAUUCAAUGUUCGCUGCAGCAACUCCGCACUGGCACACGUGGAUGUGUUCAUCUACAUUGGCACCUGGAACAAGAAGAAGAAGAGAGAAUUUGACCUUUUGAUGGCCAGGCUCUUGUUGGAAAGGAGACAAAAUGGAAAGGAGACAAAAACUGAAAAAUAUGGCAAGACCUAUGACCUCCCAACAACCUGCCUACAAUUCCUCAAGGGGCAACAAAUCCUCUUCUUCUGCCGGCUGCUAUAUCAUUUUGUCCUUCCAGCUACUCUCAAUCAACUAACCGUUCCUUUCGUCCUUCUAGGACCUCCCUAUUUCAGAAAAGACAGGUUUCCUUCGUAAAAUCACAACCUUCCAAAUCUAAACCACCAGUGCAUAGCAAGUGCUCGGGACUCAAGCAGCUGCAAAUAUUAUUCUUUGAAGCACUCCACACACAAAUCGGGCAUUGCCUCUAGCUUAUCUCCAUGUAUUUCUGGGUUUUUAAAAUGCUGCUUUUAAUGAGAUUUUCUGAAAACACCAGAGCAAAUAGGGAGAGGAAUUGACGUAGAAUCAUUCUCAUGAUAAGAGGGAAAUAAUCUUUUAGGAAUGCAGAUAGAGGCUUUAGAAAUCUCUCUCCCCACCCCGCCAUUGGCUAGAAGGAAAAUACGGAGGCACGCGAUGUGAACUUGCACCAAAAGAAAACCUGAGAGCAGAGGGGAGGGGCUGCUUCCCUCCUUGUCGCGAGUGCGAUUCAUUGUGUCUUCACUCAACACUGACCCCGAAGCAUGAAGCCAGGUGUCCAUUCCCAGGCAAGUGUGAAACAGCCUGCCUCCCAGUCUGCGUCCCUGGACCAAACAGCAAAACGAAAAGCAUGAAAAGCACGAAAAACUGUACGAAAAGCAGUGGUGGUCGCUGAGUCAGCUUUGACUGAUGUCAACAGACAUCUGGACAGGCCCCUCGCUUUGUGCACUGUAGUGGUUGCAGCAGAGGAGAAGGGAUCCCAGCUCGGUUCACUGGUUCUGCCUCUGGAGACAACGGCUAUUUAACCACCACCAAUAUCCAGGCUGAAGAUGAGGCUGAUUAUUACUGUGCUAUCUGGUAUAGCACAGUGGUAGAGCAGAAUGGGGAACUGAGAGAAAAACCUUCCCCUGUCUUCCCCUGAGCGGAGAAGAGAAUCAGAGCUUCCCUUGCAGUUUUCCCAGAGGUGCACCGAGGUGAUUUUGGAGCCUGGAACUGAAGGCCUUUGGAGCUCCCGCCCCCCCCCCCCCCGCAAGUUAAGCACCAUCCCUUACACACACACACACACACACACACACACACCAUGACACAUGCAGUAUCAUCUACACAUGGGUUCUUUAGAAUGGAAACAGAAAUUGAACUCACAAGAAUGUAUGACUAAAAAACAGUUAUAUUUAUGCAAAUAUGCAUUAGCAGGAACAUUUCAGCACGCGGAGUAACAUAUUUCCAUCAUACAUAUUUCUUUCCCCACUCCCCCCAUUGUCUUUAUAGCAGAAGUCAACUCCGGUGCAGGCAACAGUCAUGCUCGGUCGCCUGGAAAACAAUGGGCCAGGAUAGACUAAAAAGGAUGUUGGGGCCCCCAGGAUGUGUGGAGGCCUUAGAGUUUACCCAGAAAUCCAGGGGUAAGAGUGCCUCUGAAUGUUCCCUCAGAUUUUUUUCAUCAGUGUGCGGAAUGAGUUUUCUUCCGAGUGGAAGAAUCAAGGCAGUGUGCGCCUGAUCAGCACACAAAAGUGGAAUCCUUGUCCCCAGCCCAAGAAGACACGUAGACUUAGUAUGGGUAAAAGGGCCACAACUUUAUUAACUGUAACAAAAGACAUGGCGGACUGGAACACCAGGUGAUUAAUCACCCUUAGAGAACAGUGCGGGCCAAUAGGACCGGGUUAGAACUCUGACGUCCUACCCAGCACCUUACUGGGCGACACACCCUUUCUCGGGAAACGGGCAGAUACGCCCCGCCCAAUUCCUUCAAGCCAACCCCCCCUUUCGUAAGAGAGGAUCUGGAUACUUCAAGGUCUUCGCCCACCCCGGACCGCUCAGCCCAAAGUUUGGUGAAGUCCUGAAGCAGGUUUCAUGGCAAUCCAUUCUCCCCGUACCACACAGGCCACAAAGGAGCGAUUGACCAAUCACCCUUUUAAAUAUCCAAGGGUGCUCACCAAUGUUCUAACCCUCGAAUUACCACCCCGCCCGCACUGUUACUGCUAUUGUGAACGGCCUAACUCUAACUACACACCUGGAACACAGAACGGAGUAUGCGAAAAAAACCCCAACAGUGGCCAAUGCGUUGGGAGCAAAAAAUUCCUACUCGGCCCCGUUGGGCGACCAGUCGCUAGA